AAAAAAACGUGUAGUAGUUUUUCUUAUACUGUGUUUAGUCUCCUUAGGUACAAAAAGAAACGAUUCGGUGUAUAGUAGUGCUAAAUAUAGGGUCCAAAAAGUGCAAUAAGUGGGUAGCUCCAAAUAUAGUCAAACCGCUCCCAACGGUCACUACUACCGAAUAAUAUAAUCUAGAAGAAAAAGGUCCACGAACGGGCCUUUUUCUUUGUCUUCGACAGCCAUCUUGACGGGGCGCAACCUAUUGUGUUUGUGAAUCAAAAGGAACACAGGAAACGUGGGAGCACGUCGUUAUAGCGGGCACGAUCGUCGGUCAUUAGUCGGCUCCAAUGGCCUGUCCACUCUUCUAGAGGCUAUCACCAAUCAACAGAGGACUUCCGUAGUGUGUAGCCGGACCCCCACCGGGACAAGAUCCACUCCCGUGGUCCAUAGUCAGACUCCUGUGGCGAGGUUUCGUUCCCGUGGUCCGCUGCCAGAUCCCCGUGACCAAGUUGCGUCCCCUUGACCAGAAAGCUAGCUCGACUUCCGCGGCCGGUCAUAAACCAACGCUUGUGAACCAAGGUCAUCCGUUCGGCCCACAGCCGUCCCCUUGGCCAGAAAAUCAGCUCGACUUCCGUGGCCCACGCCGGCUCCACAACGCUUGUGAACCAACGUCACUCGUCCGGCCCUCCGCCGUCAUCUUACCAACCAAAACCCAGGUCGACACUCGUGGCCCACGCCGCGUGACAACGUUCGCGCACCAUCUCCCUGCGGUAGGCCAAGAGCGUCACCGGCCGAUAGCCGCUGGAUUAUUUGACCCAUCAUCGACAUCAGCAC